UAUAUUGUUCACCUUCUUCGUCUCUGCAAACCCUGAAUCCCAGUGAAUCCAAAAAUAACACGCUUUCUUCUUUUUCUUCAUCUCCACCCACAGGAGCUUAUCUAUUAAUGAGCCGGCUUCCACCUUCCCUGCAGAUUUCAGCUUGAAACAGCCAAAUUAGCCCUUACCGGUUGAUAUACAUUUUGGAGAGGAAUGCAAGCAAUAACCUCCACUAUUCAUUAAAAUAAUUUUAGGGGAUGCGAGGCCUGUGGAAAAGAGGGAGUUGAAAGGGGAUGCAACGGUGAGGGGGGAAUUCAAGGUGACAUAGCAACUGUCCCUGGCUUUGGCUAGUGGCCUAGCAAGGCAUUCAGACCAUGCCCGGGAUUCAUUGCAUCUGGUGGGAGAUAUAGGCGGCAUGGACAGAACAUGGAUGAGGUUGCAUUUGGAAGGGGAGGAAGGGAUUCUGCAACAGGAAGCACUGACUAAGAUGAAAUGCCUUCUUUUUUCAAAAGCAGCAUCUGGGGAAAUGACUGAUGCAUGGUCAAGAGGCUGAAAUGAAGACCACAAGAUUACAGGCGAAUCAACUCACGCAAAAAUUUUUGGUGUUUAUCAUAAUCAAAGAUGCUUUGUAUUCUGAAUGAAUCUAAUCAUUUAUUAGUAUUGUGUUUCCAUUAUGGAAUGUAUUAUUGUAUACAAGCUGGUCAAUCCAGGAGGUGUAUUUGUUCUAUUGUAUAUUUAUAUGGCCAACAAGCCAAGUUUUUCAUGUAUGUUUGAUGC